AUGCCUCCUCGCCUAAAUCCUACGGGGCCCGAGGAUAGGACUGCGGCCUAUCAGGCUGUUGGUGGUGUAACGGACCACCAAACCUACAACGGGUACGGGCGAUGGGAGUCGGAGCCCGGAGAUGGGGACUGAGACAAGGCCCCAGGCCCUACGGGGCGCAGCAGGCGCGAAAACUCCGCAAUGCGCGAAAGCGUGACGGGGGAACCCCAAGUGCCGUUGGACUUUUGUUCGACGGCUUUUAUGGAGUCUAGGAAGCUCCAGGAAUAAGGGCUGGGUAAGUCGGGUGCCAGCCGCCGCGGUAAUACCCGCAGCCCAAGUGGUGGUCGCGAUUAUUGGGCCUAAAGCGCUCGUAGCCGGGUUGGCAAGUCCCUUGUGAAAUCGGACGGCUUAACCGUUCGGCUUGCAAAGGAUACUGCCAGUCUUGAGGCCGGGAGACGUCGAGGGUACUCUGGGGGUAGCGGUGAAAUGCUCUAAUCCUCGGGGGACCACCAGUGGCGAAGGCGUUCGACGAGAACGGACCUGACGGUGAGGGGCGAAGGCUAGGGGAGCGAACGGGAUUAGAUACCCCGGUAGUCCUAGCUGUAAAGUAUGCGGGCCAGGUGUCUGGUGUUCCUCGAGAGCACCAGGUGCCGGAGAGAAGUCGUUA
rnacentral:rRNA from 1 species